rnacentral:rRNA from 1 species
CCGGUUGAUCCUGCCGGAGGUCACUGCUAUUGGGAUUCGACUAAGCCAUGCGAGUCGAGAGGGUUCGGCCCUCGGCGAACUGCUCAGUAACACGUGGAUAAUUUGCCCUUAGGUGGAGGAUAACCUCGGGAAACUGAGAAUAAUACUCCAUAGAUCUAGGAUGCUGGAAUGCACUUAGAUUAAAAGCUCCGGCGCCUAAGGAUAAGUCUGCGGACUAUCAGGUUGUAGUCAGGGUAAAGACCUGACUAGCCUACAACGGAUACGGGUUGUGAGAGCAAUAACCCGGAGACGAUAUCUGAGACACGAUAUCGGGCCCUACGGGGCGCAGCAGGCGCGAAACCUUCGCACUGUGCGAAAGCGCGAUGAGGGGAUCCCAAGUGCUUGCUCGUAAGAGUAAGCUGUUUUUAUGUCUAAAAAGCAUAGAGAGUAAGGGCUGGGUAAGACGGGUGCCAGCCGCCGCGGUAAUACCUGCAGCUCAAGUGGUGAUCAUCAUUAUUGGGCCUAAAACGUCCGUAGCCGGUUUGGUAAAUGCCUGGGUAAAUCGUGUAGCUUAACUAUACGAAUUCCGGGUAGACUGCCAAACUUGAGACCGGGAGAGGCUAGAGGUACUCCUGGGGUAGAGGUGAAAUUCUGUAAUCCUA